AAUUGUGUGUGAGCGGUGUGUGAGCUGUGUGUGAAUUGUGUGUGAGCUCUGUGAAUUGUGUGUGAGCUGUGUGUGAGCUGUGUGUGAGCUGUGUGUGAAUUGUGUGUGAAUUGUGUGUGAGCUGUGUGUGAAUUGUGUGUGAGCUGUGUGUGAGCUGUGUGAAUUGUGUGUGAGCUCUGUGAAUUGUGUGUGAGCUGUGUGUGAAUUGUGUGUGAGCUGUGUGUGAGCUGUGUGUGAAUUGUGUGUGAGCUGUGUGUGAAUUGUGUGUGAGCUGUGCAUGCUCCAUGCUGGGGCUCUGGGCAGAGGUGAUUUCUGCAAUCCUACCUGGAAGCCUUUCCAGAACAAUUGUCUCCAGGAAAGUGAGUGUCAGCCUUCCCAAGGAGAGCCUCUGAAUUACAGUUACAGAGUCGAAAGGAUUUUAUUUUUAGUAAAGUAAAGGUUGCUCUUAGCUGUCAUACCAUAAAUGCUUCAAAUAACCUGGGGAUAUGAAAAACAUCUUUAUCUGUGGUACCUUUUCCUUUGCCUGCCCCUCACCAGGCUCCUCUGGAGUCUUGCUGCUCUCAGCCUCUGCAGUUAUCUUUCAGAUUAUUACAAAAUUUAUUUCAAAUAAUUGCAAAAACAUUUUUACUCCCUUUUUUUUGCUCUCACUCCCUGUUUCUUUGGACUGUGUGUGAGCAUGUCUGCACAUCCCUAGGAGCUGACUUUGUGUACUGCCUUCAUGUUUCUGGGGCAGACUUCCUGUGGUUUUUUCUCCAGGGAAGACAAAUUUUAAUUCCUUCAUGUGAAGGAAGGGUAAAAAUAGUUCUGCUAGCAGGCACAAGUGGAGAAAAUUGUCACUAUGACCAUGUCAUACAAUCAUAGAUUGUCUCAGCUGGAGUGACCCCUGAGGAUCAGUGAGUCCCAGGGAUGUGAAGCUGCCUCUGUGCCCUGUUGGAAGGGGCAGCUGGGUGUUGCUCUGUCCCUCCCCAUGUCCUGCUGGUCCCUCGUGGUGCUGGGUGGCCCCUGCAGGUUGCUCUCCGUUGUUCCCACAGCGAUGAGGCGUGCACCUGUGGGCAGCUGGUGGUGGCGAGCAGGGAGAGCCAGUACAAGAUCUUCCAUUUUCACCACGGGGGCCUGGAUAAACUGUGCGAGGUGUUCCAGCAGUGGAAGUACUGCACAGAGACCCAGCUCAAGGAGCAGCUCGCAGAUGAGAAAACCUGCAUGCAGUUCUCCAUCCGCCGGCCCAAGCUGCCCUCCUCAGAGACACACCCCGAGGAGAACUGCCAGCAGCGCCUGGACGUGGCAGCCUGGCUGCAGCACCUCAACGAGGCCGGCCAGGUGGAGGAGGAGUACAGGCUCAGGAAGGUGAGUGCAGGCUCAGGAAGGUGAGUGCAGGCUCAGGAAGGUGAGUGCAGGCUCAGGAAGGUGAGUGCAGGCUCAGGAAGGUGAGUGCAGGCUCAGAAAAGUGAGUACAGGCUCAGGAAGGU
rnacentral:lncRNA from 1 species